UAGGAAAGCAGUGGAGAUCCUGGCUCUGU
rnacentral:piRNA from 1 species